AACGAACGCUGGCGGCAUGCCUAACACAUGCAAGUCGAACGAAACCUUCGGGUCUAGUGGCGCACGGGUGCGUAACGCGUGGGAACCUGCCCUCAUGUUCGGAAUAACUCCCCGAAAGGGGUGCUAAUACCGGAUAAUGUCUUCUAACCAAAGAUUUAUCGCCUUUGGAUGGGCCCGAGUUGGAUUAGCUAGUUGGUAGGGUAAAAGCCUACCAAGGCGACGAUCCAUAGCUGGUCUGAGAGGAUGAUCAGCCACACUGGGACUGAGACACGGCCCAGAAUCCUACGGGAGGCAGCAGUGGGGAAUAUUGGACAAUGGGCGAAAGCCUGAUCCAGCAAUGCCGCGUGAGUGAUGAAGGCCUUAGGGUUGUAAAGCUCUUUUACCCGGGAUGAUAAUGACAGUACCGGGAGAAUAAGCUCCGGCUAACUCCGUG
rnacentral:rRNA from 1 species